rnacentral:rRNA from 1 species
UACGUAGGGUCCGAGCGUUGUCCGGAAUUACUGGGCGUAAAGAGCUCGUAGGUGGUUUGUCGCGUUGUUCGUGAAAACUCACAGCUCAACUGUGGGCGUGCGAGCGAUACGGGCAGACUAGAGUACUGCAGGGGGAGACUGGAAUUCCUGGUGUAGCGGUGGAAUGCGCAGAUAUCAGGAGGAACACCGGUGGCGAAGGCGGCCCCCUGGGCCGGCCCUGACACUGAGACGCGAAGGCGUGGGGAGCGAACGGG